AUCCAAAUGACGAGUUCAAAACAGGACGAAACAUGUAUCAUGGAU
rnacentral:hammerhead_ribozyme from 1 species